AAAUCACAAUAUUAACUGUUGUAUGAAAAAAUUCAUGUCUGAUGGAACAUUGGUUCUCAAAACAGAAAGUCCUACUAGGGCACAUGAGUGCUCUGGACAUAAAUCAUUCUCUAUAGCAGCAGGAUAAGGGAAGCUGGGGAGUCAGUCUGCCAUCUCUUUCUCCACUGGAACUUCGUCUCAAAACGUAUCCUUACCAAUGCAAUAUCCAACCUAAUCUUGCUUGUCUCCUGGUCUGUACUCGGAGCUUUCAGCUGCCGAACUAGCGACUUCGUCAACCUGGUCUCGAGUACCAACCCGUAGAGGUUCCUCUUUGCCAAUGCUUUGAAUAAGCAUUAGCAUUGCAACCAAAAACACAAUUAUGUACACAGUUCUGAUGCCAAUUAGCGAAUUGAUAAAGCCCAUAAAUGAUGGACCACUGACUUUUUUCACUAUCGUUUGUCCUUUUCUGUAUCCUUCAACA
rnacentral:misc_RNA from 1 species